GAAGGUGGUCGUAGUGGCGGUUUUUUCUUCAACCAAAAUGCACGGCGAAACCGUCCCUACCGCCUCCCGCCACAUGCUCAGUAGAUAUUCUAAAGCUCGAGGGUUGCUUGAGUUAGAAGCUGCGCGCAUUGUGUUUACGAAUGGCUAUAAACCUGAGAGUGCUUAAUUAACUUGUACAUCUGCAUAGUACACUUGACUGAUCUUCAGGUGCGUACAUAAUUAAGUAGCUAGGCUGAUUUGUGUACUGAGUAGUGAUGAGCGGUGCUAUGGUGGAUUAGCUUAAAUUUCGUUAUUAUGUAUUGAUCUUUUCUUGGUUAAUUAUUGUUAGUUUACUUUGUCCUCGGAAAAUAGGCAUUGUAGAAAGUGAGGGAUGGCUUUAUAUAUGUUGAAGGGAGCAUGCAUGGUUGGUUUCAUCGCAAAAAAAAAUCAUUUUCGAGAGGUUGGUAGCGCAUGAUUUGUACUAUACUGGUGUGGAAUAUAUGGUGUUGAAUGAAGAAGGGGUUUAUUGGCUGUAAACUCAGUUAGUUGUUAUGGUAGCACUUUUUAUACUAUAAUAUGCUUGUAUAUUAUACUCAAUAGUGCAAUUAAAGGCCGUUAAUUUUGAAUAUUAUAUAUGUUUAUCUUCUGAUAAUUAACAAUAAAACACGUUUCAAUUAAUCAAAUCCUAAUGUUUAUAAGGCCAGCAUUAAUUAAUGGGUCACUCUCACUCAUAAUCAAUCAAGCCUAAAAUUUAGUGGGCAUUUAAUUGGAGGCAAGCACAUGGGAAGUGAAAAUGUUAGGUUAUUCCGCGAACUCCACUUCGUGCCAUUAAAACUCAGCUGUUUCAUUUUAUUUUAAAUCUUUGCUUCGCUACCUUCCUUUCCAAUUUACAGUUUCCACUGCAUUGGUCAACCCGGACAAAAUUUAUAUUAAAUUUUGGGUAAACUUUAAAAACCACUACUGUGGUUUCGCACUUUCUCAUUUUAGUAUCCUAUGGGUUAAAGUAUAUCAAUUUAGUGACAUGUGGUUUCAUUUUUUCUCUUUACGUCAGCUUCUUCAUUAAUAUUUUAUUAAAUUAAAUACAGAAAAUUUUAGAUACCCCAUCUAAAUUUAUCGAAUAUUUACUUUAAUAUAUACCAUUUAGUUUUAACUUUUUCACUGAUUUAAAAAAAAAAUAGUAAAAUUAAUAAUAAAAAAAGUGAAACCAUAGGGUACUAAAUUGAAACCACAGGGGUGGGCUUGUGUGUGUUAUUAGCAGCAUCAGCUUUACUAUGAUGAAAAAUAUCUAUCUAGGGCCCUAGCUAAUCAUCGAUAUAAUUCAAUAAGUUUAUUAUAUAAAUAGUAAAAAUGAUACUUACUAUAAUAAUAACGGUGUAUAGCGUUACUUUCAAAUGUUAGUAUAGGUAAAAAAAAAUGCUACUAAAUUUCCGACACUUUUUGAAAGUGUUACUAUAUGUGGGUCGCUAUAUGUAGAACCGCCUUGAUGUUUGGCACCCAUUCCUCCAACGAUCUGUGACGGAGGAACACGUGGCGAUCGUAGUUUUCUAUGGUCUAUGCGAGAUCCUCGCGGCCGAACUCCAGUCGUCGGAAUCUUAUCUCGUCGGCUGCGACGGCAGAGAAUGAGAAUAGAAAAUAGUGAUCAAUUCUUUUUUUUCUUUUCUACUUGUAAUCAGACCAAGUGGGCUGGCUAUAUGGGGUUAGUUGGGUAGAAAAAACUUUUUAUAUUUUAUUGUAUUGGACUUUAUAUUUAGGUCUUAAUAGAUUUUUUUAAAAAAAUUUUGGUAUAAAUAAAAUACUUAUAUUAAAAUAUUUUAAAAAUAUAUCUGUAUAACCUAAUUCUUUUAUAGAGAAUGUUAAUAAUUAUACCUUCCAUUCGAGAUAGUGCGAGUGGGGGACAAAGAGUCACGGGCUCACAAUGUAAAAAGCCACGCCGAGGACAAACCAACAACCACCGGAAAGUGCGCGCCAUAUCUGGUGUUAUUUACAGCAAACCUAUCUGCAGAGAUUGGACCAGUAAACUGAUCACGGACCAGAAUGUGGAGUGGGCCCCCACAGGAAUGAUAAAAGACCCGUUGGGCCCCACUACCUCACACAUGGUCUGCACUGGUGGGCCCCAUUGGACUUUUGAUCUCCCUUCACCCAUUGUUCCGCGACCACUGAUUCGCUAUGUUCGGUGUCGGAUGCUGUGAAAACGUACGUAUACGUAACUCUUCAUGUGCAUGGCGGAAUAUAACGUACGUUGGUGUGUGGAGCUACUCGUGUCGCGAUUCGCGAAAUACCAUCAAUCAUUUUCUUUCUUUUCGCAAAAACAUCAUGCCUUAUUUGCUUGAUUUAUGACCCGAUACGUUUUUAUUUAGUCGCUAGCUAGUGAGCAAUGUGAAAUAGAAGCAAGAAAGAAAAAAACUUAGAAUGCCACUGUCACGUUUCUGGCGUGGUGCCUCCGGCCAAUUAAAUUAUAAUCCUGAGAUUUAUCUAUUCCAUCAUAAUUAUUAAAAAAUAUUUUUAUUUUUUUAAAAAUAUAAUUGAUUGAUUAUAGAUAAUAUGAUGUGAUUGUCACGUUAGUAAAUUUUCUCGUGUAAUAGAGCUCCACAUCUAAAAGCAAUUAAAAUGAGGCAACAAUUAUUUUAGUAAGUUUCUACAUUCAUUCAUUUGUUUGGUAAAGACCAAAUAAAUUAUGUAAUGUACUGUAACGCUAGGUACUGUAUUUUUCAAAAUAUCGAUUUCUCUUGACUAUAUUUACAAUAAUUAGUCAAAUUCUGUGAAGUUUGGGACUAAUUGAUUUAACAUGGUGAAAAAUCACAUGCAUCAAUUAACUUGAUCGAUCUGAUUUGAUCCUGUUCGCAAUUGAUGAGAGGCUCCGCUAAAUUUGACUAAUACUUUAACCCAGAUGCAUGCAUUGAAAUAAUCAUUCUAUGAUGGAUCACCUAAAAAUCAAACCUAACUUUUUCGGUGCAAUUUUUUUUUAUCUCUAUUUGUUGCACAUUAAAAGAAUCAGAAAUAUAGUGAGGUCCUCAUCAUGGUCAGGUGGCGAUGUCCGCGAAAAAUCACUCUUGCCACUCGAUCUUGGAUUUAGUCAUUGUCCAUUAAUUAUCUUUAUCCAGCUGGCUCUUAUUUUUCACUGGAUCAACUUACUGUUUGAUAAAACAUAUAUAUAUAUAUAUAGGUAAAAUAAAGAGAUAAAAAUGAUACACAUGUACACCUCCUUAAUUAUGAUCGUACAUAUAUAUACAGAGCCCAUGCCCUAUUAAGAAGAAAAAGGUCCUUUUCGUGUAUGUGCACCAAAAUUAGAAUAUCAUGUGCAUGCUUGAUUGUGAUAUUAAUUACCUUGACCAUCAUACUUCCGUAUAUACGGAAUACGUACAAAGUGAAAAUAGUCGAUCUCAAUUGUUAGCACAAAUCAUAUGAACUUCUCUGCAUGUAUUUACAAAGAGUUUAUACUUUGAUUUUUGCAUAUGGAAAACUUAAGUAUGUUAUUCUUUCCCGCUGCUUGUAAAGAAAACAAACAAAAAAAAGAAGAAGAAAGAGAUAAAAUAAUGGUUGCUUAUUUGAUAGGUCGAACUUAUGGAUGCAAAUGGAUUCUGAUUGAUGGAGCUGG
rnacentral:lncRNA from 1 species